GAACAACAGAGACAAAAUACAAUAUGGAAAUGACUUAAUGGGGUAUGGCCUCAUCUCCGAUGAAUGCUAAUGACAUAUGCUGAUACCCUUUUGCUGGGAAAGUUAAACGAGCAUUCAGACCAGUCUUCCAGAUUGAACUUUCGUAAACUACAUUAGAAUUCACAGAGGUUGCCUGCCCAAUACUUAACCUGCUUUCAGUCAAACCAAGCACUGGCAGACACAAGAUAACUAGCUAGAUUUAAAAAAUAAAAAAUAACUUCAUAAUAGCACUUAUUCCAUGAUCGAACGUUCUAAACACACGGUUUGGCAAUUUCCGGUCAGUCUAGUUGUUAUCGACGAUAUAACUUUACUACCACUAUGUCGCAGUUUUUUACUAGGUGUCUUCAGGACUUGCCUCAAAUUCAUAUUAAUGAUGUACAUCGAAUUGUUAAAUCAGCCUCCGAGACUCCAGCUAGCAAGAAUGAAAAGGGGUUCAAGAUGUAUAUAGGAAGCUACAUAGACAACUAUGAAGACGUAUCUUCACAGAUGGUGUUAAAGCACUCCGUACCAGUGAUAGUGGUCCAAAGCCACUGCUCCUGUGUUGCAGGAAGUGCUCUGUGCAAUCAUCUGGUGGCCCUUCUUUACCAGACAGCACACUACUCUCAACUAAACAUUCCUGCUGCACCACCAGUUCACAGCUGCACAGACACAGAACAGCAUUGGCACAAGCCAAGAACACUUGGUGUGAAGCCAGGUCCGGUUGGUGGGAUAGAGUUCCGUAAACCUAUUAACUUGUGUGCUGAUGGAAUAAGAUGUUCUCUCUACAAAGCACUCAAUGGAUACAUGCUUGACCUGGACUCUCUCCGCGUCUCAGAAACAUAUGCCAACUUUUCUCCACUUCCUGCCCCUCUUGGGACAACAAUGGAAAUGUCAGCUGACAUGCCCCUGGUUGAGUCCUCCUUUGGGCCAGUGCAAUGCGGCAGUGUUCUGUCCUAUCAGCUUCCACAGCCAAAGACCCAUGAAAUUGUGAAGAUUGCCGAUGCCUCUUCUCCACCAAUACUUCCAUUAGAUGGCUUACAGGCUUCAGUCUUCCCAGUGUGCUUACGUCCUUAGCCAUCAGGAGCAGUUCCACCUCAAGGCAUUAGAGACAACCUACGAGAUGUCACAAAGUCGAGGUUGCUACAAGGGAGCAGAGCAGCAGCCCAGAAUUGCAUCAGCUCAGGAAAAUGAGAAUAACAUCCUCUCGUUUCCAAGAGGUUUGCCAUGUCUGGGGCGAGACCUCAGCUGACCACCUAGUGCACCCAGGUGCUCCGUGGUUAGGAUCCUCUCCAGGUGGAAUCAUAUUUGAUCCCAGUGUGAGACCACACUUUGGACUCUUAGAGGUCAAGUUAUGUUGACUGCCCUUACCUAAAGAUACAGAAUGGAGAGCUGAAGUUGAAGAGAUCUCAUGCUUACUACUGGCAGGUGAAAGGUCAAAUCCUUCUCACAGGUUGUAGCUGGUGUGACUUUGUCAUCUGUGCACAGGAGGACAUUCUAGUUGAAAGGAUAUUUAAAGAUCUACAGGUUUAAAAAGCUAUAAGAGAGAAGGUUGACCACUUAUUUUUACCACUACUUGCAGAAGUGUCUCUCGCACCUGAAUGGAUCCCCUGCAUGGGUGCCAAGUUUAGUGGUUUUAUGAAAAAUAAGUAUUGAUGUUCUUGUGAAGAAAUCUAUAGUAGAAUAGAUUUGUUUUAAAACAUGUAUUUCAGCAAAUGUUCAACAGUUCAGUUAAUCAAUUACACAUUUCUAACAUUGUAUUCAAUCUUGCAUUCUGUCUGUACUGUGUUUACUUGAUUUCUUUCCCCCACCCCUGUUACUCAUUGCCUAAUUAAAGCCAAUACAAGCUCCACACAAACUGAUAUUCACUACAACACAAAUGAUUGAUACAUGUCAUAGAUAAACAAAUUAUUAUUUUGCUGCUAGCAAAUAAACACAUGUACAUUUACACUGGCUUGGACCAUACUCUGGACCGGAUCAGAGACGGCACAGUCCAUAGGCAGCGCACCUUGUUCUUCAUCCCCCUCAGUCGGAGCAGGACGUUUCAGUCUUCUUUCCCAAACACCAGAUCUCUUUUGAAUUUGCCAGUUUCAUGCGAAGACAGUAGGAACAACACCUCUUUUUAGGUAUUGUCCCCGAACCCCCCCCACACAUUUUUCCCUCAACAAGGUCACUCUCGACGAAAUGUGUACUACACACCUUUGUGUGUUUGGUGACAGUAAAGUUGUCACGACGUACUGCCCCAACCACCUUUUUCUGAGCUCUACAUCGACUGGGAAACGAUGGAAGCUCACAAUACCAUUACAUUUGGAAGAAACUGAACACAGAGACACUGAACAAUGUUCAUUAGCACCUCCUUCGCGGGGCUGUAAUUUAAACGUAGUAAUUGCGAACUAUUUCAGCCAGAAAUGCAUCGACGACAGCUAGUAAGCUAAUGAUAAAAACAAUAGCGGAAGUCAUCAACCCGGUCUGAAGUAAAUUAGAACGUUGGAGGCGGAAUAAUGCAUUUAGCCUAUUACCAGCUACUGUAGCUGGAUGCGAGUUGACUCACUGAGUAUCGUGAAUACAGCGUUAGCGUAACUGCGUUCAAACAGGGCUGCAAUGAAAACGAAUGGGCCUACAACUAAUAUGUUAGCGUCAAACUUUGACAAGGCAAUGGACAAAUAGUAUUUGAGACAAGCUGAAAAAACAGACCUCUUCUGGCGCAAUAUUUACUUUGUUCCGUGUUACGACGUAUCGUACGUAGUUUAAUG
ensembl:lncRNA